rnacentral:rRNA from 1 species
CCCUUAGAUGUUCUGGGCCGCACGUGCGCUACACUGAUGCAUUCAACGAGUGUACCUUGGCCGAGAGGCCUGGGCAAUCUUUUGAACGUGCAUCGUGAUAGGGAUAGAUUAUUGCAAUUAUUAAUCUUGAACGAGGAAUUCCUAGUAAACGCAGUUCAUCAAACUGCAUUGAUUACGUCCCUGCCCUUUGUACACACCGCCCGUCGCACCUACCGAUUGGAUGGUCCGGUGAAGCCUCGGGAUUGUGGCGGUUGCCUUUAUUGGUGGCCGCCGCGAGAACUUGUCUAAACCUUAUCAUCUAGAGGAAGGUGAAGUCGUAACA